rnacentral:rRNA from 1 species
UGAGAUGCGUGAGUUGUGUAAUUCAGUGGAUAUGCAUUCUGACGUACGAAGAAGCGGCUAACUCUGCAGCUAAUACGGAGGGUGCAAGCGUUAAUCGGAAUUAUUGGGCGUAAAGCGCGCGCAGGCGGUUGUUUAAGUCAGAUGUGAAAUCCCCGAGCUCAACUUGGGAAGUGCAUUGAAACUGGUCAGCUAGAGUGUAGUAGAGGGGAGUAGAAUUCCAGGUGUAGCGGUGAAAUGCGUAGAGAUAUGGAGGAAUACCGGUGGCGAAGGCGGCUCUCUGGUCAAAGACUGACGCUCAGGUUCGAAAGCGUGGGGAGCAAACAGGAUUAGAUACCCUGGUAGUCCACGCUGUAAACGAUGUGACUAAGAGGUUGUGCCUUUGGGCGUGGUUCCGGAGCUAACGCCUUAAGUCGAUCGCCUGGGGAGUACGGCCGCAAGGUUAAAAAUCAAAUGAAUUGACGGGGGACCGCACCAGCGGUGGAGCCUGUGGUUUAAUUUGGUGCAACGCGAAGAACCUUACUACUUUUGACAUCCAGAGAAUCUCUCAGAGAUUCGUUAGUGCCUUUGGGAACUAUGAGACAGGUGGUGCAUGGCUGUUGUCAGCUUGUGUUGUGAAAUGUUGGGUUAAGUCCCGCAACGAGGGCAACCCUUAUCCUUUGUUGCCAGCCAGUAAUGGGGGGAACUCAAAGGAGACUGCCGGUGCUAAACCGGAGGAAGGUGGGGAGGACGUCAAUUCUUCAUGGCCCUUAGGCGUAGGGUUCCCCACGGGUUCCAAUGGCAUAUACAAGGGGAAGGAAACUCGGGAGACCAAGUG